UACGUAGGGUACAAGCGUUAAUCGGAAUUACUGGGCGUAAAGCGUGCGCAGGCGGUGAUGUAAGACAGGUGUGAAAUCCCCGGGCUUAACCUGGGAACUGCAUUUGUGACUGCAUCGCUGGAGUGCGGCAGAGGGGGAUGGAAUUCCGCGUGUAGCAGUGAAAUGCGUAGAUAUGCGGAGGAACACCGAUGGCGAAGGCAAUCCCCUGGGCCUGCACUGACGCUCAUGCACGAAAGCGUGGGGAGCAAACAGG
rnacentral:rRNA from 1 species